rnacentral:rRNA from 1 species
ACUCCUACGGGAGGCAGCAGUGGGGAAUAUUGCACAAUGGGGGAAACCCUGAUGCAGCCAUGCCGCGUGUGUGAAGAAGGCCUUGGGUUGUAAAGCACUUUCAGUAGGGAGGAAGGUAGUGUAGUUAACACCUGCAUUAUUUGUACGUUACCUACAGAAGAAGCACCGGCUAACUCCGUGCCAGCAGCCGCGGUAAUACGGAGGGUGCGAGCGUUAAUCGGAAUUACUGGGCGUAAAGCGCAUGCAGGCGGCCUGUUAAGUCAGAUGUGAAAGCCCGGGGCUUAACCUCGGAAUUGCAUUUGAAACUGGCAGGCUAGAGUCUUGUAGAGGGGUUAGGAAUUUCAGGUGUAGCGGUGAAAUGCGUAGAGAUCUGAAGGAAUACCAGUGGCGAA